GGGGCAGGGGUCCGUCGUGCAGGAGUUGAUCAAGGUGACUUUGAAGUGUGUGGUUGGGUUCCCUCAUGCCCCUCUUUGGCAGUUACCUAAAUAUCAAUGUUUGAAGGACCCUCCCCCCAAGAAUGGGAGGGGCGCUAUUAAAGAGGAAAUCCAGGUUGUAAGAAGUUGAGUGACUUGCCCAGGGUUGCCAGAGCCACGAGAAGUAGAAAUUAGACUCCCACUCGUGUGUUCUGACUCCAAGGUUAGUGUUCUUUCCGUGACACGAGUUUCCUCUGCCGGCGCAGCAACUGGCAGGGACGCAGAGCUGAGAGCUGAGUUGGUGACUUGCAGCAUCAGGUGACAUCUUGAUUAUUUUUUCCAGUGGAACCUGGUUGCCAAGGAAAACCUUCUCUCUGCUGAACCGAGGCAGUGACUACCUCGAAUGAAAAUAGAGCCCUGAAAUGAAAGAACCCCGGAAAACCCCAGGUGUAAAAGAAAAGCGGAGAUGUGUAACUCUCUCCAGAAAUUGAUGGUACAAAUCCAGGUGUCCAUACAUAUUUAAAAUCGCCGUCACUCCUUGGCCUUGGGUGGUAUAUAAUUUCCUUGUUUACAAAUUAGACUUAAUUCAAAUAAAUGCGGUUUUAUUUCAGACACUUGCAAGUCCUUCACAUUCAUAAUUUCCCCCCCCCAUCUUUAACACCUGCUGAAGCCAUUGCCAAUUCCUGAAUAAUUCCUGAAUAAAUUUCUCCAGCCAGAGCGUUCUUCUAAAUCUUUCCCAAGGCUGAUAGAAAUCUGGCUUCCACGGGCCUGUUAGCCUAGCAUAUUCCAAACCAAAUUCAUAAUUUUCUUAGCCUGGUCUUGAUUUGGAUCACUCUAACACCCUAUCAUUAAUUCAGGUGGCCAAGCCAGACUCUAAGGCCCGCUGAUUCCAGCUCCCUGGCAGAUACUCCCCCCCCCCCCGCUCCUGACCUCACAGCUACAGUUCUGCCACAGCCCUCAUUCUCUGGCAUCUGACAGCUGCCACGGAUCUUAACUGUACUCCCCGAAACAAUGAGUAUCUUCCCACCCUAAUCCAUCUUUCUUAGCACAAGGAGCAUCGUCCAGCCAGCUGAAACCAAACCAGGAAGUUCUUCUUCUUUUAAUUCAGUAUUCAACUCUUUCUAAAAGGCUGGUCCAUUUUCCCUUGUCAGUUACAUAAAAUACCUUGACAAUAAAUUUCUCUGAUGAUUGAAGCUUUUAUUGUGUCUCAGGGCCAUCAUUCUGAAUACUGGUGAUUAUGAGACAUUCUUCGUGUAGUCGUUGGCAUGACGUUUGGCUUAAAUGAAUGUGUUGUUCUCUCUGAAUCCAGUUUUAAAAUAAUCUCUUCUUACAUCAGUGGUCCUUAACCUUUCUGGAGUCAUGAACCCUUCUGAGAAUGUGAUGAAACUUAUGGGUCUUGUCUUGAGAACAGUGCAUAGGUUACUGUGUGCACACCCACCCCCACCCACCCACCCACACACACACACGCACACCUAUUUUGCCUACACCUUCAAGACUUUCUUAAUUCAUUCGUAGAUGAACUAGCCUGAAAUCUGGGUUGAGGACCCCUGUCUUAUAGGAAGUUGUUUCCUUUCAUGUCAGAGGCAUGGUGUACAUUUUUAUUUUAAGGAAAUAUCCUGAUGAACUUGUAGUUGCCUUGAUUUGCUGUAAUGCUUUCCCACAGUUCAGACCCUGUCUUGCCGGUGUGGACUGGGAUAGGGCCCUGGGGCCGUUCAUGGGCACAGCCAUCCUGAUAACACCCUUAACUAGCUCUAGGACUUUGUCAUGUCCUUAACUAGCAAGAUGCAGUAGAAAUCAACUUGGAUCCUCUGUCGGGGGACCUGAAUUCUUGUCUCCAUGGGCUCUCCUAAGUCUGUCAAACAUUUUAGAAACUCAGCACUAGUGUAAAGUGAGGCACGUCUGCCAUGACGAUGUUUUGCUGGAAUGUAAAGUGCUCUCGCUCCUGCUUUCACUUUAUCUUAACAAAGACGGGAUGAGAAGGUCGAUGAGUUCUCAGUCUUCAGUGCAUUGGGAUAAAUAAGGGAAGGAGCACAGAGACCGGCUUGCUCUGAGACAGUUACAUUGGGGAGUGAGUAAGCGGGCCCUUUCUGGCUCUGGUCCCCAAGCGCCUUCACGCUCUGCCUGUGUGUGCUCUUCACUGGACUUCCUGAUUUAAUUCAAGCUCCAUGUAGGUCUAAGGCAUCAAGGCGGAAAUGGUUGGAUCCAUUUACGUCAAAUGAAGUCUGCAGAACAGCCUGAGUGGGGUAGGAAGAGAACAACCAUAGGCACGCCUGAUGGAUGGCUAAUAACGUUUUGGCUGAUGGGGUCGGCCACCGGUACACUCCAUCAUUAGUCAUUUUACCUCAUAUCAAAGGGGCCAUCUUGGGGAAGUUCCCAUUGUGGCUCAGUGGUAACGAGCCCACUAGUAUCCAUGAGGACGCAGGUUCGAUCCCUGGCCUUGCUCUGUGGGUCAAGGAUCCCGCAUUGCUGUGUGCUGUAGUUCACAGACGUGGCUUGGUUCCUGCAUUGCAGUGGCUGUGGUGUAGGCCAGCAGUUGUAGCUCUGAUUCGACCCCUAGCCUGGGAACUUUCAUAUGCUGUGGUUUGUGGUCCUAAAAAAGCAAAAAGGUGGGGGGCAUUUUGGAAAAAGUAAGUUUGAACCUAUUUUUGUGUAUAGAUUUUUUUCUGAUCUAUGUUUAACUAUACUCAGGAAUUAGAAAUACAAUCUUUGGUUAACUUUACCUGAACUUCCCAGAAUAUUUUGUGGAUCCUCCAAAAAACAAAAACAACAACACCUGCUGGCUCAUCCUGGCUCUUCCUCUCCUUCUCUCUUCCUCCUUCUUUCUCAGAUUUGUAGCAGCUUAGAGCUGAAGCAACCUUGGAAAUGGGUUAAAUCUCUCUUUGUGCAAGAAGGAAACUGAGACCCAGGCGGAUUAAAUCAUUUGCCAAAAGUUACCCACAGCUGAUCAGUAGCUGAGCCAAGAGACCAUCACAGGGGUUCCAACUCUUUCCCCCCAUUUAUUUUCCUUUUUAAGCAGAAAAAUGAAUAUCUUGACCCUUAUAAAACUAAAAACACAGCAGAGAAAGGCUCAUAACACCCCCCUAAAAAGGUCAUAGUUUUUUUAUGAUUGUAUUAGAAAUACGACAGUUAGUUAUAUACAUGCCCCCCCCAAAACUCUCAUUAAGUUCUACCUCCUCAGCAUAUGUGUCUCCAAUUAAAUAGUUUCCCCUUGGAUCUCGCGUGGUUUUUCGAGGGUCUGUCUGAAAUAUGGAGACACAACCUUGACAUUUCUCCAGCUCCAAGGAUAAAAGUUUUGCUACGUAAAACUUCCAAUUUUCUGUCAAAUUGAAUAUAGGUGUCCUGGCUCCUCAAAAGACAGUUUUGUGUCCGUGAGGGCCUCAGAAGCGAUUUAAUGAGAGCCAGUGUUGUACUUGGCCCUUUGCUAGGCGAGCCACAGGAGACCGGGGUGGGGGGGGGGAAUGCAUAAUCCCGGCAGAACGGAAGUGGGAGGUGAAGAAGAGAUUUCAAAACAACCCUAGAAAGAAUCAGAGAACAGUGAUGUCAUGUGUAGCAGUGAACAUUGUGGAACGGAGGGAGGCAAUGAUCAAUACACCCAAGAAUAGUAAAUAAAGGUCUUGUGGGCGAAAAAGGAUUUGAACUUGGACUUGACCAAUGGCCUUGAAUGCCUGAGCAAUGACACUGCAGAAGGAGUUAAUAGUGGGUGUGAGAUGAGCAGUGGGCGACCAGGCUGAUUGAACCAUGGGUGCAACACUCGACUAGUUGGACUGUAGGUUGAGUAGGUAACCCUAACCCUAACCCUAGUAGGUGCUUGAUAAUGAGGAUUCACAGCACUUGAAUUUGAAUCUCAUCUGUGUAACUUUGAGCAAAUCACCUUUUUUUCUUUUUUUUUUUUGGGACUUUUAGGGCUGCCCCCAUGGCAUAUGGAGGUUCCCAGGCUUGGGGUUGAAUUGGAGAUGUAGCUGCCGCCCACACCACAGCCACAGCAACGUGGGAUCCGAGCCGCGUCUGUGACCUACACCACGGCUCACAGCCAUGCUGGAUCCUUCACCCACUGAGCGAGGCCAGGGAUGGAACCUCAUGGAUACUUGUCAGAUUCUGCUGAGCCACACUGGGAACUCCUCAGCAAAUUACUUUAACUUCUCUGUGCCACCAUCUCCUUGGCUAACAUGGGACUACCAAUGUACCCUUCUCAUACUGUUGUUGGGAAUAUAUUUAAUUAGAUUUACAAGUUCAGAAUAGUGCCUUCUCUGUGUUCCAUCCACCUUAGUCAGCGUUUUUCCGCCCACUGGUUUGGUCGGGAAGUUAAACUGAACGUGCUCCAACAAUAUUAACUAUUCUAUUUAGAGUGAAGCCAGAAAAUAAAGACUUGAAAGUAGUCUGAGGAAUUUGAGCUUGAAUAAACAACAGAACGCCGUUCCCAGGCAGCACUGGAUUUGGAGAAUCUGGGCUUAGAAGGGAUCUCAUCAAACCUCCAGAGAACUGGGGAACCUCGCCUCUGCACUUUCCUAGUUGCUCAGAUAUCUCAGCCUUGGGGAAGGAACCCACUUGGUGGCCUGCACUGGCAUGUGGAUUGGUGGCCGACAGCAUGGAAGGCAUGGGUCUG
rnacentral:lncRNA from 1 species